UCACCAUGUUCCGAACAGUCUUUCUUUCGUCGAGAGCCGUUCUGCGCUACGCAAUCUCCAAAAGUAGCACCAGACAUCUUAGGGCUUCGUCGUUUCAGCAAGACUCUUUAUCUCAAGUCAUCCGAGUCUAUUCACCAUCAAUUUGCACCUUUCAACGUUCAUUUUGCAGCGCAGAAGAAAACACAUCCGAAAUGUCUUUCAGAGAUCGUAAAAGUGGUGGGUCAGAUUUCCGUGGAGGAGCUCGUGGAGGGGGUUCUUCCAGUUUCGGAGGUUCUAGUUUCGGAGGUGGUGGCAAUCGGGACUUUAAGAAGAUGCAACCCGGAGAGAAGCUACGUAAACCAAGAUGGGAGAUGGAUCGUCUUCAACCGUUCGAGAAGAACUUUUACAAGCCACACCCCAACUUGACUGUUAAGUCCGUUCACGACAUUGAACAGUACAGGGCUAGCAAAGAUAUCACUAUUCGUGGUAGGGAUGUUCCAUUCCCCAUCACUUCCUUUGAUGAAGCAAGCUUCCCUGACUACGUGAUGACUGAGAUCAGACGUCAAGGCUUUAAGGAGCCAACAUCUAUUCAGGCUCAAGGCUGGCCUAUCGCUCUGAGUGGAUCAAACAUGGUCGGCAUUGCCCAAACUGGGUCAGGAAAGACAUUGGCUUACACACUUCCAGCUAUUGUUCACAUUAACCAUCAACCCUAUCUUGAACCCGGAGAUGGACCAAUUGCCCUCAUUUUGGCACCCACUCGAGAAUUGGCUCAACAGAUCUCAUCCACUGCCAAGGAUUUUGGAUCAUCAUCUCGCAUUCGCAACACCUGCGUGUUCGGUGGAGCUCCCAAAGGCCCACAGUUGCGAGAUAUCGAACGCGGUGUGGAGAUCAUGAUUGCAACUCCUGGUCGCCUUAUCGAUUUUCUCGAAGCUGGCAAGACUAACUUGCGCCGUUGUACCUAUUUGGUUUUGGAUGAAGCUGAUCGGAUGCUUGACAUGGGUUUCGAGCCCCAGAUUCGUAAAAUUAUCGAGCAGAUUCGACCGGAUCGUCAAACGCUCAUGUGGUCCGCUACCUGGCCAAAGGAAGUACGUCAGCUGGCUGAAGAAUUUUUGACAGACUACAUUCAGAUCAACGUUGGAUCCCUGACACUGUCGGCUAACCACAACAUUUUGCAAAUCAUUGACGUCUGCCAAGAGCAUGAAAAGGAAACUAAGCUCAUGACCCUGCUUCAAGAAAUCGGUGCCGAAGAUGAGAACAAGACUAUUAUUUUUGCCGAAACCAAGAGGAAAGUUGAUAGCAUUACAAGAGCCAUGCGCCGUGAUGGAUGGCCGGCGAUGUGCAUUCAUGGUGAUAAGGCGCAACCUGAGCGUGAUUGGGUUUUAAACGAAUUUCGCUCAGGCAAAGCGCCAAUUUUAGUAGCUACUGACGUGGCUGCUCGUGGUUUAGAGGCAACGACGGGCUGAUGCCGCUUCGGCUGCUCCUUACUCCUGUCAAAACAGUAAAGCAAACAAGCAAAAAAAAAAAAAAAAUGUGUUGAGUGCGUAGCUCAUGUUGAGGCCUCUUGCUCUCCCAAAGUCAUGGAGUAGGCGGGGGUUUCGCAAGCAAUGGAGCAAGCACAAAGAAGCACAUGGCAGUGAGUGGUGGACUGGUUCCUAGUGGCAUCGCUUCUUAGAGACGUUUCGCGCACAUUCUUAGAGCGAAAAUGUGUGUGCCCGUCGCCUUGCCUCAGUUUGGGUUGAUUGGAUUGGGACGGGAGACAAAUUUGCGUGGGGCUUGAUUUGAGUUAAAGAGAGACGAUGAGGAGAUUCGCCCAAAGUCCUGCGCGCCGUCUGUGUUGCACCUGGUUUUUCCACCCCUGGCCGAUCUCGGAGAUUAGAGAUGGGACGGGCGUGGCUGAGAACUUGAAAAUCAAGCAGCGCAUGGCGUGUGCCGGCGGCAACUGGCGAGUGUACUCUCCUCUCACACGCGGAACAGUGUAAACAAAAGGAAUUUCGAAGGUACCACAGAUGUGGAUGAUGUCAAAUUUGUGAUCAACUUCGACUACCCCAACUGCUCCGAGGAUUACGUCCACCGUAUUGGUCGUACUGGCCGUUCACAACGCACAGGAACCGCGUACACAUUUUUCACUCCCAACAAUUC